CAGCGCCGCAGGAACACCGAGGGUGCGAGCGUUAAUCGGAUUUACUGGGCGUAAAGCGUGCGUAGGCGGCUUUUUAAGUCGGAUGUGAAAUCCCUGAGCUUAACUUAGGAAUUGCAUUCGAUACUGGGAAGCUAGAGUAUGGGAGAGGAUGGUAGAAUUCCAGGUGUAGCGGUGAAAUGCGUAGAGAUCUGGAGGAAUACCGAUGGCGAAGGCAGCCAUCUGGCCUAAUACUGACGCUGAGGUACGAAAGCAUGGGGAGCAAACAGGAUUAGAUACCCCCGUAGUCCCUGUCUCUUAUACA
rnacentral:rRNA from 1 species